rnacentral:rRNA from 1 species
GUGGGGAAUUUUGGACAAUGGGCGAAAGCCUGAUCCAGCCAUGCCGCGUGCAGGAUGAAGGCCUUCGGGUUGUAAACUGCUUUUGUACGGAACGAAAAGACUCCUUCUAAUAAAGGGGGUCCAUGACGGUACCGUAAGAAUAAGCACCGGCUAACUACGUGCCAGCAGCCGCGGUAAUACGUAGGGUGCAAGCGUUAAUCGGAAUUACUGGGCGUAAAGCGUGCGCAGGCGGUUAUAUAAGACAGAUGUGAAAUCCCCGGGCUAAACCUGGGAACUGCAUUUGUGACUGUAAAGCUAGAGUACGGUAGAGGGGGGUAGAAUUCCGCGUGUAGCAGUGAAAUGCGUAGAUAUGCGGAGGAACACCGAUGGCGAAGGCAAUCCCCUGGACCUGUACUGACGCUCAUGCACGAAAGCGUGGGGAGCAAACAGGAUUAGAUACCCGGGUAGUCC